rnacentral:tRNA from 1 species
GCGGGUUUAGCUUAAGAUUCAGAGUGUCGCGAUUCCAUCGCGGAGGUGAUUGUUCAAGUCAGUCAACCCGCUCCA